rnacentral:lncRNA from 1 species
CCUGAUUCACUUGUAUUCUAAGUACCUAGCACCGACUUUGGCACAUGGUAAGCCCUCAAUAGAUGUUUGAUGAGUGAAUUUAGGAAAGGGAAGGAGGAUGUGAUGGCAUUGAAAAUCUUGACUUGAAACUCCAACAAGACUAUGUUAUUGAUAUUCCCAAGCAGACAAUGUGAGGAGAACGUUACUCUUUCUUGCACCACAGAAUCACGUCUGUGGGCCUCUCUGGUUCAAGGGGCAGUUCUUAUUUACGCUGACACCACCCACCUGGAGAUGUGUGCGACUUCGAGGUAGUGAACACCAUGCUUGAGGACAUCCUGUUCCGGACAUCGGGCUCCUGGUCAAGGAUGGCUCUGAGAAGAGAAGAAAGUGGGUGGAGGAAAAGGAGGAGGAGAGAGAGAAGAAGGAGGAGUAGGAGGAAAGAGGGAAGGAGGAGAAGAAGCAGGAUCCCGGAUUUUAACCCAAUCCAUUCCUCGUGUGAAUGCCUCUAAGUACCUUGAAAAGUCUGCACCUUCACCAACUUGCGAACAUUGCCUGUGCUGUCAUCCCUCCUGACCCAGACAACGAGUCUGUCUGAAGGACUUCCUGUCAUUUUAUAGAAAAAUUGCAGGCACUGCUGCUUCCUCUUUGGGUAAAGAAUCCGAGACUCCAGUAGGGCUGCCUCUUCCGCGGACCCCGAGCUGGUGCUGAACUGCAUGAAGUAGCCGGCACCUAAGGAAAGAGCAGCCAAACAUCACACGUCUGGCUUCCCACACCCCAGGGUUCUGUCCACCCAAACAAAGUGAAAUAGUGAACCACAGCCAUUGUCCAGGCAACAAAAACUAGAACUCUUCGGAGGAAA